rnacentral:rRNA from 1 species
UACGUAGGGUGCAAGCGUUGUCCGGAAUUAUUGGGCGUAAAGAGCUCGUAGGCGGUUCGUCGCGUCGGCUGUGAAAACCUGAGGCUCAACCUCAGGCCUGCAGUCGAUACGGGCGGACUUGAGUACUGCAGGGGGAGACUGGAAUUCCUGGUGUAGCGGUGAAAUGCGCAGAUAUCAGGAGGAACACCGGUGGCGAAGGCGGGUCUCUGGGCCGAUAUUGACGCUGAGGAGCGAAAGCGUGGGGAGCAAACAGG